AUUGAACGCUGGCGGCAGGCCUAACACAUGCAAGUCGAGCGGAUGAAGGGAGCUUGCUCCUGGAUUCAGCGGCGGACGGGUGAGUAAUGCCUAGGAAUCUGCCUGGUAGUGGGGGAUAACGUCCGGAAACGGGCGCUAAUACCGCAUACGUCCUGAGGGAGAAAGUGGGGGAUCUUCGGACCUCACGCUAUCAGAUGAGCCUAGGUCGGAUUAGCUAGUUGGUGGGGUAAAGGCCUACCAAGGCGACGAUCCGUAACUGGUCUGAGAGGAUGAUCAGUCACAUUGGAACUGAGACACGGUCCAGACUCCUGCGGGAGGCAGCAGUGGGGAAUAUUGGGCAAUGGGCGAAAGCCUGAUCCAGCCAUGGCGCGUGUGUGAAGAAGGUCUUCGGAUUGUAAAGCACUUUAAGUUGGGAGGAAGGGCAGUAAGUUAAUACCUUGCUGUUUUGACGUUACCAACAGAAUAAGCACCGGCUAACUUCGUG
rnacentral:rRNA from 1 species